rnacentral:rRNA from 1 species
GGUGAACGCUGGCGGCGUGCUUAAGACAUGCAAGUCGAACGCAGUCUUCGGACUGAGUGGCGCACGGGUGAGUAACACGUAACUGACCUACCCCCAAGUCGCGAAUAACCAGCCGAAAGGAUGGCUAAUGCGUGAUGUGAUGAUCCGCUGUGGCGGAUCAUUAAAGACUUGAUCGCUUGGGGAUGGGGUUGCGUUCCAUCAGCUAGUUGGUAAGGUAAAGGCUUACCAAGGCAACGACGGAUAGCCGGCCUGAGAGGGUGGCCGGCCACAGGGGCACUGAGACACGGGUCCCACUCCUACGGGAGGCAGCAGUUAGGAAUCUUCCACAAUGGGCGCAAGCCUGAUGGAGCGACGCCGCGUGAGGGAUGAAGGUUCUCGGAUCGUAAACCUCUGAACCAACGACGAAAGACCCGACAAGGGAGAUGACGGUAGUUGGGUAAUAGCACCGGCUAACUCCGUGCCAGCAGCCGCCGUAAAAC